AUUGAACGCUGGCGGCAGGCCUAACACAUGCAAGUCGAACGAGUGGCGGACGGGUGAGUAAUGUCUGGGAAACUGCCUGAUGGAGGGGGAUAACUACUGGAAAAGGUAGCUAAUACCGCAUACCAUCGGAGCGGCCCAGAUGGGAUUAGCGAGUAGGGGGGGUAACGGCGCACCUAGGCGACGAACCCUAGCUGGUCUGAGAGGAUGACCAGCCACACUGGAACUGAGACACGGUCCAGCCUCCUACGGGAGGCAGCAGUGGGGAAUAUUGCACAAUGGGCGCAAGCCUGAUGCAGCCAUGCCGCGUGUAUGAAGAAGGCCUUCGGGUUGUAAAGUACUUUCAGCGGGGAGGCGUUACCCGCAGAAGAAGCACCGGCUAACUCCGUGCCAGCAGCCGCGGUAAUAC
rnacentral:rRNA from 1 species